UACGUAGGGGGCAAGCGUUGUCCGGAAUCAUUGGGCGUAAAGCGCGUGUAGGCGGCCAGGUAAGUCCGUUCUGAAAGCCCGGGGCUCAACCCCGGGAGGCGGAUGGAUACUGCUUGGCUCGAGUCCGGAAGAGGCGAGUGGAAUUCCCGGUGUAGCGGUGAAAUGCGCAGAUAUCGGGAGGAACACCAAUGGCGAAGGCAGCUCGCUGGGACGGUACUGACGCUGAGACACGAAAGCCAGGGGAGCGAACGGG
rnacentral:rRNA from 1 species